rnacentral:rRNA from 1 species
GACAGAGGGUGCAAACGUUGUUCGGAAUUACUGGUCGUAAAGCGAGUGUAGGCGGUCUGAUAAGUCGGGUGUGAAAGCCCUGGGCUCAACCCAGGAAGUGCACUCGAAACUGCCAGGCUAGAGUAUCGGAGAGGUUGGUGGAAUUCUCGGUGUAGAGGUGAAAUUCGUAGAUAUCGAGAGGAACACCGGUGGCGAAGGCGGCCAACUGGACGAAUACUGACGCUGAGACUCGAAAGCGUGGGGAGCAAACAGG